rnacentral:miRNA from 1 species
GCAGACACAUUCCAGCCAAUCAGCAGAAGACACUCCCUCCCAGACCCUCCAACCUCCUGGACAGCAUCCAUUUUACAUUCAUUGUGAAGCUGCAUUCUUAGUGAGCUGUCCAGGAGGUGGGAGGGUCUGGGAGGGAGGGUCUGCUGCUGAUUGGCUGGAAUGUGUCUG